CCAUCGGUGGUUCUGUGGUAGAAUGCUCGCCUGCCACGCGGGCGGCCUGGGUUCGAUUCCCGGCCGAUGCA
rnacentral:tRNA from 1 species